GAAGUUUGGACCGUAUCUCAGUUCCAAUGUGGCCGAUCAGCCUCUCAGCUCGGCUAUGCAUCGUUGCCUUGGUAGGCCAUUACCCCACCAACAAGCUAAUACACCGCAAGCUCAUCUCGAAGUGAAGCCGAAGCUCCUUUUAGCAUAUCUAGUUAUCUAAAUACGAAUUAUUUGGUAUUAGCAUCCGUUUCCAGAAGUUAUCCCAAUCUCCGGGGUAGAUUACCCACGUGUUACUCACCCGUCUGCCACUAGGAAGUAAUCCAAAUCCAUUUUGUGCAAGCACGCAAAUUUCAUUGGGCUUCCUCGUUCGACUUGCAUGUCUUAGGCAUGCCGCCAGCGUUCAUC
rnacentral:rRNA from 1 species